rnacentral:rRNA from 1 species
GACAGAGGGUGCAAACGUUGUUCGGAAUUACUGGGCGUAAAGCGCGUGUAGGCGGCCCUGCAAGUCGGAUGUGAAAUCCCACGGCUCAACCGUGGAAGUGCAUUCGAAACUGCAGGGCUAGAGUCCUGGAGAGGAAGGUGGAAUGCUUGGUGUAGAGGUGAAAUUCGUAGAUAUCAAGCGGAACACCGGUGGCGAAGGCGGCCUUCUGGACAGUGACUGACGCUGAGACGCGAAAGCCAGGGGAGCAAACGGG